GACGAACGCUGGCGGCGUGCUUAACACAUGCAAGUCGAGCGAUGAAGCUUCCUUCGGGAAGUGGAUUAGCGGCGGACGGGUGAGUAACACGUGGGUAACCUGCCUCAAAGUGGGGGAUAGCCUUCCGAAAGGAAGAUCAAUACCGCAUAACAUAAGAGAAUCGCAUGAUUUUCUUAUCAAAGAUUUAUUGCUUUGAGAUGGACCCGCGGCGCAUUAGCUAGUUGGUAAGGUAACGGCUUACCAAGGCAACGAUGCGUAGCCGACCUGAGAGGGUGAUCGGCCACAUUGGAACUGAGACACGGUCCAGACUCCUACGGGAGGCAGCAGUGGGGAAUAUUGCGCAAUGGGGGAAACCCUGGCGCAGCAACGCCGCGUGGGUGAUGAAGGUCUUCGGAUUGUAAAGCCCUGUUUUCUAGGACGAUAAUGACGGCACUAGAGGAGGAAGCCACGGCUAACUACGUGCCAGCCGCCGCCGUAACAC
rnacentral:rRNA from 1 species